GACGUAGGAGGCGAGCGUUGUCCGGAUUCAUUGGGCGUAAAGAGCACGCAGGCGGUUUGGCAAGUCGGAUGUGAAAACCCGAAGCUCAACUUCGGGCCUGCAUCCGAAACUGCCCGACUAGAGGUAGGUAGGGGAGAUCGGAAUUCCUGGUGUAGCGGUGAAAUGCGUAGAUAUCUGGAGGAACACCGGUGGCGAAGGCGGCAUCCUGGACCGGUAUUGACGCUGAGGAGCGAAAGCCAGGGGAGCAAACGGG
rnacentral:rRNA from 1 species